UGAAAUAUUUAUUGUAUACAUUUACAAUUUUAAAUUAUUUUUAUUUCCAGCUUAGAUGGGCAUGCUGCAACUCUGACAGUUAUAAAUUGUAUCUGAGUAAUAUCUCUGUGAUAUUAAGAUUGGAUUUGCUUAAUAUUUCUUUCGAAAUAGAGUACGUUCGCCACAAUUGUGGCAAUCGUUUGCCAUUAAGGUUGGGGAAUUAAAGAUGAGUUCUUCGAUAUUGGACUCGAGUUUUGAUUAACGUUGAUCACCACAUUACUCAUCCUCCAGUGAAUCGGAGGUGAAACGAACGAUAUUUUGUCCUGUUUUUUGCUGUUAUUAGUGGUGAUAUUGGCUAUUGCGCUUUACCAAUUUUUAUUGUCUGAAUAUUUAUCAGCUUUAUUUAUUUAUUUUUUGGUUGAUUAUUUAUCAGCUUGAUUUAUUUAUUGGCUUAUUAUUUAUCAGCUUGAUUUAUUAAUUUUACAGUAAUCUUGAUUUUGGCAACUUUUUUUAGAUGGUUUCCUGGUACAUGGUUGUUUUUUUUCUUGGAGGAGUUGUGGAUAUCCGUUUCUUAGGUGUGGGUGAACGCUUUGGUCUUCUGCUUACUUUACGUUUCUUAGAUGCUGGUAAUCACUUCGGACUUGUGUGUUUUCACUUAUGCCUUCUUUUUUACCUUGGCGGGCCUUUGAAUAAACUGAGAUUGGGAUUUGAUGUGUAAAUAUUUAAUUUUAUCAAAUUUUAAAAUUAAUUAUUUAUGGCCUAAUGUGUUUGUGUUUUACAUUUCUUUAACAAUACUGCAUGUUGAAUAUAAACAUUUUUUUUGCAUUUCCUUUUAUAGGUAUGAAAAGUUAUGAUAGGGACUUAGUUGAAAUGCAGGGAAUGAGCUAAAUAAUUUAAGACAUAAAGAGGCAGAUAUGAAAAUUGUAAUGCAAAGAUGGAGCUAAACUAAUCUUGAGACAUUGAUCUGAUAUGAAAAGUUAUGAAAACUGUAAUGCAAAGAUGGAGCUAAACUAAUCUUAAGACAUUUAUCAGUUAUGAAAGUUGUAAUUUAAAGGAGCUAAACUAAUCUUAAGACCUUAAUCAGUGGUCUGACAUUAUUGAAAAUGGAAAUACCCGGCUUGAGUGAGGAUGAUAAUUUAUGGAAUCCACAUCAAUACUAACAACACAGAUUCCAGCAGAAAGUAUAAUGCAUUUGUUCUAUGGACUUCAAUACAUAGAAUGGAAUGAAAACAAAUUAACUAAACGAAGACUAUUUUGGGAAAAUCACUCAUUUUUCCACACAUUGAAGAAAGGCCACACCUACCAAAAAGUGAGAACUCAAUAAAAAUAGUGAAACGAAUACAGAGAAAAAGGAAAACGUACCAUCUGGAUCUGCUGAGAAUACUUCAUUGUGUGUCAAACGUGCAAGGUGCAAGCUCUGUCCAUCAAGCAAUGAUUGGAACACUAAUAUGUUAUGCUUCAAUUGUAAGAGCCACAUUUGCAA